rnacentral:sRNA from 1 species
GAUGAUGACACUAUUGCUAAGGUCAACGCUGCAAUGAAUGGACAGUUGCCGUUUGCUGUUGUGGGAAGUAUGGAUGAGGUAAAAGUCGGAAACAAGAUGGUCAAAGCUCGCCAGUACCCUUGGGGUGUUGUACAAGUGGAAAAUGAAAACCACUGUGACUUUGUAAAGCUGCGGGAAAUGCUCAUUUGUACAAAUAUGGAGGACCUGCGAGAGCAGACCCAUACCAGGCACUAUGAGCUUUACAGGCGCUGCAAACUGGAGGAAAUGGGCUUUACAGAUGUGGGCCCAGAAAACAAGCCAGUCAGGUAGGGUGGGGUUCUUGGGAAGCCAACCAAAGAGGAAGUUAGAGAGGAUUGCAUAUUUUUAUAUAUCCAGGAUGAUGGGGCAUGUGUUCUUUAGAAUCUCCCAAAACCAUGAUAUAGAAUCAUUUGGUAAUGACUAAUUAUUGUGCUUCUU